rnacentral:rRNA from 1 species
AUGACAUUUUCAGGAUUUUGCGGUGUUGCUUGUAACACCAAAAUCUUGAGCCACGUGGAAGCCACUCGCAGCAGAAUUGACUUGAUCGUGCUGUUUGGGCAGCCAAUUGCUCACACACUAAGAGUCCAAGAAGAAAGAAAACCGCUUUCAUCGUCGGGGGAAACCAGAGCAGAGACGUGGCAGCAGCGGCUUCAAGAUUGUGCUGGAUCAACUCUGUGUAGCCUAGCAAUGUACUCCAGCAGUGGACUUGGAGAACGGAGCACCGAGGUCAAAUCCGCCGUAAUAGAAUAUAGAAGUACUUCCAGUAAAAGGCAAUCUAAUGGCGGCUGGUAA